rnacentral:lncRNA from 1 species
UGUCACGCUUGUUUUAACCGCGGUGGCUGUGAGGCUCUGCAAAAUGGCUCUCCCCAGCUCCAUGGACCCCCAGGGCCCAAGAAUGCCCUAAAAAAGAAUCUUAAAACUUCUCCAGAGGACUGAGAAACGAUGGGGUAUAUUCACGGAAGGGAGUCCCCGGCCACACCAGGGCAGGCCAGCUACAGCACCCGCAGCAAGCUG